UACGAAGGGGGCUAGCGUUGUUCGGAAUGACUGGGCGUAAAGGGCGCGUAGGCGGCGAUUUUAGUCAGGCGUGAAAGCCCUGGGCUUAACCUAGGAACUGCGUUUGAUACUGGAUCGCUUGAGUAUGGGAGAGGAUGGUGGAAUUCCCAGUGUAGAGGUGAAAUUCGUAGAUAUUGGGAAGAACCCCGGUGGCGAAGGCGGCCAUCUGGACCAUUACUGACGCUGAGGCGCGAAAGCGUGGGGAGCAAACAGG
rnacentral:rRNA from 1 species